GCAGCAUGAAAAGACGAAGAUUUUUGGGUGUCAGAAUCCCUUUAGACAAGGAGGUGGGAGGAAAGGCUUGCCCAGGUCUUUCCUUAACAGAUUCACUCAGGUCUUCGUUGAUCCUCUUACAGUAAUUGACAUGGAGUUCAUUGCCAGUACUUUGUUUCCAGCCAUUGAGAAAAAUAUUGUUAAGAAAAUGGUUGCUUUCAAUAACCAAAUUGAUCAUGAAG